GACAGAGGAUGCAAGCGUUAUCCGGAAUGAUUGGGCGUAAAGCGUCUGUAGGUGGCUUUUUAAGUCCGCCGUCAAAUCCCAGGGCUCAACCCUGGACAGGCGGUGGAAACUACCAAGCUGGAGUACGGUAGGGGCAGAGGGAAUUUCCGGUGGAGCGGUGAAAUGCGUAGAUAUUGGAAAGACCACCAAUGGCGAAGGCACUCUACUGGGCCACUACUGACACUGAGGGACGAAAGCUAGGGGAGCAAAUGGG
rnacentral:rRNA from 1 species